rnacentral:tRNA from 1 species
GGCUGGGGCUCAACGGUAGAGCACUCGCCUAGCAUGUGAGAGGCCCUGGGUUUGAUCCUCAACACCA